GGAUGUGAGGGCGAUCUGACUGCAACAUCUGUUACCCCACUUAUUGCCAGGGUUGAUUCGGCUGAUCUGGCUGGCUAGGCGGGUGUCCCCUUCCUCCCUCACUGUUCCCUUUGUGUGUCCCUCCUGAAGCUGCUCACUCAGUCAGUAGAGGAGGACGGUUUCCUCUGUCAAAGGUAUACAAGUAGCUGCGAUCUCCUGCUAGAACCUCCAAACAAGCUCUCUAGAUGUGUCAGACCAAACCAAAACAAAAGCAGGUGUGACUGUGAGUGUUACAAGAU
ensembl:misc_RNA 7SK 7SK RNA